rnacentral:rRNA from 2 species
GAACUGAAGAGUUUGAUCCUGGCUCAGAUUGAACGCUGGCGGCAUGCCUUACACAUGCAAGUCGAACGGCAGCACGGGAGCAAUCCUGGUGGCGAGUGGCGAACGGGUGAGUAAU